GUUUCUCAAAGCGGCCGACACAGGAAGUACAGCUUCAGGUCUACCGUGUGCCUCAGCUAAGCUUCAGUUUACAGCAGGAAGCAGCAGCAGCAGCGGCGUUCAAAACAAAAGCAACUCUUCUGUGUUACAGCCUCAAGGUUUUACAUAAAGAUGGUGAACCAGCCCACACCAGGAGAGAGAGAGAGAGAGAGAGAGAGAGAGAGAGAGAGAGAGAGAGAGAGAGAGUACCGCAGUAAAGCAGAGGUCACACGGCCGCUGCGAGACCCACGCAGAGCACUUCACCACGUGCACGUGGCGGCUUCAUCCCCUGGGUUCCUGCUCCGAGGUGGAACUGAAGGAUGAGCCCGGGUUAUUUUUGACAGCCAAUUAAAAUGGAGGUGCAGCGGCCAAAAGGACGGGUGCUGAGAUCGAGUCCUCUCCCUUAAAAAGAUCCGUCAGACAUGUUUUAAAUAAAACACCCUGCUCUGAGUAGU